rnacentral:rRNA from 1 species
CAUUGGAGGGCAGUCUGGUGCCAGCAGCCGCGGUAAUUCCAGCUCCAAUAGCGUAUAUUAAACUUGUUGCAGUUAAAAAGCUCGUAGUUGAAUUUCUGCGUUGCCCGACUCGGCUACUUGCCUUGUCUGGUUUCGCUUUUGGGGUUUUCCCCUUUUUACUUUGAGAAAAUUAGAGUGUUUCAAGCAGACUUGUGUCUUGAAUACUUCAGCAUGGAAUAAUAAAGUAGGACUUUGGUUCUAUUUUGUUGGUUUGUGAACCUUAGUAAUGGUUAAUAGGAACGGUUGGGGGCAUUCGUAUUUAACUGUCAGAGGUGAAAUUCUUAGAUUUGUUAAAGACGAACUACUGCGAAAGCAUUUGCCAAGGACGUUUUCAUUAAUCAAGAACGAAAGUUAGGGGAUCGAAGACGAUCAGAUACCGUCGUAGUCCUAACCAUAAACCAUGCCGACUAGGGAUU